UACGUAGGGUGCGAGCGUUGUCCGGAAUUAUUGGGCGUAAAGAGCUCGUAGGCGGUUUGUCGCGUCGACUGUGAAAACCCGAGGCUUAACCUCGGGCCUGCAGUCGAUACGGGCAGGCUGGAGUUCGGUAGGGGAGACUGGAAUUCCUGGUGUAGCGGUGAAAUGCGCAGAUAUCAGGAGGAACACCGAUGGCGAAGGCAGGUCUCUGGGCCGAUACUGACGCUGAGGAGCGAAAGCGUGGGGAGCGAACAGG
rnacentral:rRNA from 1 species